rnacentral:rRNA from 1 species
UGUGUCGGCGGUGUCUUACUCUCCCACACCCUACCGAGUGCAGUACCAUCAGCGCUGGGGAGCUUAGCUACCGGGUUCGGAAUGGGACCGGGCGGACCCUCCCCGCUAUCGCCACCGACAAC